rnacentral:rRNA from 1 species
GACGAACGCUGGCGGCGUGCUUAACACAUGCAAGUCGAACGGAAAGGCCCUGCUUUUGUGGGGUGCUCGAGUGGCGAACGGGUGAGUAACACGUGAGUAACCUGCCCUUGACUUUGGGAUAACUUCAGGAAACUGGGGCUAAUACCGGAUAGGAUCUCCUGCUGCAUUGUGGGGGUUGGAAAGUUUCGGCGGUUGGGGCUGGACUCGCGGCUUAUCAGCUUGUUGGUGGGGUAGUGGCUUACCAAGGCUUUGACGGGUAGCCGGCCUGAGAGGGUGACCGGCCACAUUGGGACUGAGAUACGGCCCAGACUCCUACGGGAGGCAGCAGUGGGGAAUAUUGCACAAUGGGCGGAAGCCUGAUGCAGCAACGCCGCGUGCGGGAUGACGGCCUUCGGGUUGUAAACCGCUUUCGCCUGUGACGAAGCGUGAGUGACGGCAAUGGGUAAAGAAGCACCGGCUAACUACGUG